rnacentral:rRNA from 1 species
AUUGAACGCUGGCGGCAGGCCUAACACAUGCAAGUCGAGCGGAUGAAGGGAGCUUGCUCCUGGAUUCAGCGGCGGACGGGUGAGUAAUGCCUAGGAAUCUGCCUGGUAGUGGGGGAUAACGUCCGGAAACGGGCGCUAAUACCGCAUACGUCCUGAGGGAGAAAGUGGGGGAUCUUCGGACCUCACGCUAUCAGAUGAGCCUAGGUCGGAUUAGCUAGUUGGUGGGGUAAAGGCCUACCAAGGCGACGAUCCGUAACUGGUCUGAGAGGAUGAUCAGUCACACUGGAACUGGGACACGGUCCAGACUCCUACGGGAGGCACCAGUGGGGAAUAUUGGACAAUGGGCGAAAGCCUGAUCCAGCCAUGCCGCGUGUGUGAAGAAGGUCUUCGGAUUGUAAAGCACUUUAAGUUGGGAGGAAGGGCAGUAAGUUAAUACCUUGCUGUUUUGACGUUACCAACAGAAUAAGCACCGGCUAACUUCGUG